UACGGGGGGGGCAAGCGUUGUUCGGAAUUACUGGGCGUAAAGGGCUCGUAGGCGGCCAACUAAGUCAGACGUGAAAUCCCUCGGCUUAACCGGGGAACUGCGUCUGAUACUGGAUGGCUUGAGAUUGGGAGAGGGAUGCGGAAUUCCAGGUGUAGCGGUGAAAUGCGUUGAUAUCCACAGGAACUCCGGUGGCGAAGGCGGCACGCUGGACCCCUUCUGACGCUGAGGCGCGAAAGCCAGGGGAGCGAACGGG
rnacentral:rRNA from 1 species